AUUGAACGCUGGCGGCAGGCCUAACACAUGCAAGUCGAACGAGUGGCGGACGGGUGAGUAAUGUCUGGGAAACUGCCCGAUGGAGGGGGAUAACUACUGGAAACGGUAGCUAAUACCGCAUACCAUCGGAUGUGCCCAGAUGGCAUUAGAUUGUAGGUGAGGUAACGGCGCACCUAGGCGACGAUCCCUAGCUGGUCUGAGAGGAUGACCAGCCACAAUGGAACUGAGACACGGGCCAGACUCCUACGGUAGGCAGCAGUGGUGAAUAGUGCUCAAUGGGCGCAAGCGUGAUGCAGCCAUGCCGAGGGUAUUAAGAAGGCCUUCGGGUUGUAAAGUACUUGCAGCUGGCAGGCGUUACCCGCAGAAGAUGCACCGGCUAACUCCGUGCCAGCAGCCGCGGUAAUAC
rnacentral:rRNA from 1 species